UCCUAUAUCUCAUUGGGGAUGAUAAAAUCCAGCAGGAGCUCGACGGAACAACGCGAAAUGUAAAAGUGUUCCAGGAUGUCUCUGCACAGAUGUCCGAACGCGAAUUUUCGAGGACUUUCCUGCAGUGUAGGGAAACACUGAAAAAGAUGAAGAGUGAAUAUCGCAUAAUAAAGGACAACAACAACACGAGUGGUGCGGGUCGCAAACAAUAGAAGUGGUUCGACUUGUUGGACCAGAUUAACGGCCAUAGACCGGCCAACGUUGGGAGGGAGGGAGGCCUGGACUCUGCAACGGCUUUACUGGAGUCCCUGCAAGAUGAUUACAUUGGGACUUGUGAGGAGGAACAUUCCCGAACAACGGGUGAUGGCAGUGUUCCCUCCACAUCGUCAUUGAAUCCAGAACGGACCCCAGCCGAAGACCCUAACCCGACUCAACCACCAACGCCGAGUGCCAUCACGACACCGCAGCGUGUGGUUCUAGGCAAGAGGAAACGAGGAGGAGAGGAUCGGGCCCAGCAGGAACGGCACCGUGAACAGCACAUGGCCCAGCAGGAACGGCACUUGGACUGGGCCAAAGUGUCUGCUGAGCGGAGAUGGGAGUUGGAUGCGGCCUUGAGAAGGGAGGAGGCCGUCUUGAGAAGGGAGGAGGCUGCUCAAACAGAGACCUUCAACCUAGCCUUCCUGCGCACUCUUGGGGAGGUGCUAGGGGGACUGGGCAGCCGACGUGGCCCGUCUCCUCCUCGUCCAACUUAAAAUAACCUUAAUAGUUAUUGUACAUAUUAUAUUUUUUUUUUCUAGUUAAUUUUUAAAUUUGUACUUUCUUGUUUAUUUAUUUUCUUUAA